rnacentral:lncRNA from 1 species
AACAAGACAAUGUGUAUUCAAAAAUAGUCUCCAAAUCAAUAACAAACCAGGAGAAAUUCGCGAAGAGCUUUUUGAAGACCUAUUUGGAGUAAAUUUUUAUUUUGAUAUGAAAAUUCGUCACUUGUUGGAAUCAGUUGGCUAAUGUACUCUGACCCUAAAUACAUAUGUGUAAACUCAUUUGAGAAUGAGAACCUUGAAUAAGG